CUACGGGCGGCAGCAGUGAGGAAUAUUGCACAAUGGGGGGAACCCUGAUGCAGCAACGCCGCGUGGAGGAUGACGCAUUUCGGUGUGUAAACUCCUUUUAUAUGUCAAGAAAAUGACGGUAGCAUAUGAAUAAGCACCGGCUAACUCCGUGCCAGCAGCCGCGGUAAUACGGAGGGUGCAAGCGUUACUCGGAAUCACUGGGCGUAAAGGACGCGUAGGCGGGUUGGAAAGUCAGGUGUGAAAUCCCACAGCUUAACCUGAGAACUGCACUUGAAACUCCUAAUCUAGAGUAUGGGAGGGGGAGAUGGAAUUAGUGGUGUAGGGGUAAAAUCCGUAGAUAUCACUAGGAAUACCUAAAGCGAAGGCGAUCUCCUGGAACAUUACUGACGCUAAGGCGUGAAAGCGUGGGGAGCAAACAGGAUUAGAUACCCUCGUAGUC
rnacentral:rRNA from 1 species